GAGGGCAUAGCUCAGUGGUAGAGCACAGUGUUUAGUAUAUACAAGGUCCUGGGUUCAGUCCCCGGUACCUCUA
rnacentral:tRNA from 1 species